ACUCCUACGGGAGGCAGCAGUGGGGAAUAUUGGACAAUGGGCGAAAGCCUGAUCCAGCCAUGCCGCGUGUGUGAAGAAGGUCUUCGGAUUGUAAAGCACUUUAAGUUGGGAGGAAGGGCAGUUACCUAAUACGUGAUUGUUUUGACGUUACCGACAGAAUAAGCACCGGCUAACUCUGUGCCAGCAGCCGCGGUAAUACAGAGGGUGCAAGCGUUAAUCGGAAUUACUGGGCGUAAAGCGCGCGUAGGUGGUUAGUUAAGUUGGAUGUGAAAUCCCCGGGGCUCAACCUGGGAACUGCAUUCAAAACUGACUGACUAGAGUAUGGUAGAGGGUGGUGGAAUUUCCUGUGUAGCGGUGAAAUGCGUAGAUAUAGGAAGGAACACCAGUGGCGAAGGCGACCACCUGGACUGAUACUGACACUGAGGUGCGAAAGCGUGGGGAGC
rnacentral:rRNA from 1 species